ensembl:lncRNA LINC01094 long intergenic non-protein coding RNA 1094
AGAAGGAUAUUAAAGUGAGCCUCCCAAAGGAAAACGUGGAUCUACUUACCAACGCAGAAAAUGAUACACACGGAUUCGAUUUAGGCACGCUACAUUCAAAUGACUUGGAAGAGCAGGUUCUCUGAGCCAGGAUACUAAAGUCCCUGUUUAGGAAAGAGCCACGUUGUAUGUUUACCCUACCACAAAGAUACAGUCAUGUGCCUGGGAAAGAUUGAUGCCAGCUCCAGAAAGGCAUCCGAAUGGUCUAAGUAAUGCCAUCCAUCUGUCAGUAAUAGAUUCAGAAAUGGAAUUCUGGAGGAAAGUGGCUCUGGGAAUUGAACAGUGGCUCAGUGAUGUUGGGGCCACCAAGUCUGCAAUUCUCCCUACCUGUUCUUCAUGGUUGUAAGAUGACUGCUGCAAUUCUCGGCAUCAUGUGCAUGUUAAUGUCAGGAGGAAGAAAGGAAGAGGGAGCACUGGGAUGUUACAUUCAUUUUGUCAGGAAAAGCAAAGCCUUUCCAGACAGCUCCGAAACUUGCUUACCUCUCAUUGGCCAGCACCAUCACUUGACCACUUGUCCACUCCUAGCUGCAAGGAAAGUGGCAAAGUAGAAGGUAUUUGAGAAUGUCUGCUGGGUUAGCCAAAACAAUAGUGACUUCUACACCCAAUUUUCUGGGCACUGCAGAAGUAUCCUUGAGUCCUAUGUGAUCAGAGGGAGAGCAAACCUCAAUAAUGAAACAGAUUCAAUUUCCAUCACCCAGUGAGACACCAUGGGAUUAGAAUAAAUUUUUAAAAAAACAAAUUGAAAAAAAUGCAUUUUUAAAACAACAAAAUCAGAAAGGAUGAAAGGUGAUAUUUCUAGCAUAUCAGUUUGUGGUGGUAAAUUAAUUACCUUAUACAAAGGCCUCAGUGACUUUCUUCUCCUUACCUAACGAAUCAUCUUUAAAAUAAGUAAAAUAAAGAAACAAGAGCAGCAGCAGAUGCUUCCUAAAAAGAAGUUACCAAAUCUGUUCACCACAAACCUGAGAAUUCAACUGUGGACAUUUGGACACCAGCAAUGAACAUGAAACUCAGCUUAUGAGGCAUAUUUGGCUAAAGGUCAAGGUGACUUAAAGUUCAUCAUAGGACAUCUACAAUUUGCAAAGCAGGUGACUGGAUAUGGACUCCUUCCAAGUCUCAUUUAAUUGGAUAAUGCCUACGUUUUAAGUAUCAGAAAGGGACCAUAAAGGUGCCAGCCUAAGGAACACGUAAAACGUGGGAACAGACAAACAAGCUGCUGCCUAUUACAGAGAUAGAUAAUUAACUUUGGACCAUUACAUGCAAUUCAUCAGCUUAUCUUUUUCAAACUUUAUAUAAGAAGUCAUUUCCCAAUGGUAACCACUUGCCAGCUGCAACUUUGACGCAUAUUAUCAGGAUAGGUGAGAUUGAUGGGGGCCCUUUGAACUCUUCCCAGGGAAUUAUCUUUAUAAUGUUACAGUUUUCUCUAUAGCAUGGUCAUAUUGUUAACAUUGGUUAUAAGGUCAUAUGGUUAGUAUGGUUAGUAUUGGUGGCUCACAGCUGUAAUACCAGCACUUUGGGAGGCCAAGGUGGGAGGAUCACUUGAGCCCUGGUGUUCAAAACCAGCUCUGGAAACAUAGCAAGACCUUGUCUCUACAAAAAAAAAUUAAAUAAAUUAAAAGAUUAGCUGGGCAUGGUGGCACAUGCCUGUAGUCCUCACUACUUGGGAAACUAAGGUGGGAGGAUCCUUUGAGCUUGGGAGGUUGAGGCUGCAGUGAGCUGUGGUUGUGCCAUGGCACUCCAGCCUGGGUGACAG